UAUUUUAAGUGAUUUUGGCAGUACUAAUCGCUGUAGAAGAAAGCCCAACCUAAACCUAAUUGCAAGUAGAAGAGUAGAGCGUGAGCAACGAGCUUCUCCUCCAGUGGCUUCUUCUCCUCCAUUGAUGCGAGCUUCUCCUCUAUUCUUGUGAGCUUCUCUGCCAUUGAUGCGAGCUUCUCCUCCAUCGAGCUUCGGCGUUCUAUCUUGUGCGAGCUUCUUACCCUAACUCGUAUUUUCCGUGUCCGUUCUCCCUUCUAGAAUUCGAAAUCUUCAUCACUGCUGCUCUGCGAGCUUCUCCUCCAUCAAUGAUUCUUCUCCUCCAUCGAUGUCAUGUCCAUCAAUGCUUCUCCUCUGAUGGUACAUUUGCUUCCGUGGAUGCGAUUUGCGAGGUCAAAAAUUGGGGAUUGUUAGAAGAAAUUGAGUAAGGCAACCACUGUCUUCGAUAAAAGAAUAUCUCAAGACAUUGCAAUUCAGGAGGCGCUUCCAUUGCAUUAAGUACACCUUAAUCGUGGUUAAUCUCUGACUCUACAGAAGAAAAGCACAGUUCCAAAUUUUAACUACUUAGCUUGCACCUGUCUCAACAAUUGUGUUCUGCACACCCGACAGGAAAACAUUGGAUGUAAUAGUUAGCAUUGAAUACCAUCGCUCCUCUCACUCUCUCUGUAACAUUACAGAUAGAUCUUAGUACUCUUAUCUGUUGUAUUUUUUAUCAUCCUGUUAUUAAUGUGAUCAAAUUCCAUUUUUGUUUUAAAUCAAUCAACUCUUAUGACUGAUAUAUGAUUUUUUUAAAUCAAUAGGAUGGUAUCCUUUUUGCCAUAAAUAUGUUGAAUCAACAGCCGCUUCCAUUUAGGCAAAGCUCAAGAGAUGAUUUAUGGAUGGUGUUUGGAUUCCUGAUUUUGCAUGCUCGCCAAAUCCAGAGAGUGAGUAUAUUAUCCUAUUCAAAGCUUCUCUUUCAAUUAUUCUUUGAUAUUGUACUUGAUUUAGAUAUUUGGGAUCUAUAUGCUGAAAGAUGAGCACGAACCAACCUUAGAAGACGUUCUGCAACCUGGCAAGAACAUGUUGGCAGCUGGUUAUUGUAUGUACAGUAGCUCUUGCACGCUUGUUUUGCUGCUGAUCAUUGGUCCGGGCAUGGGCACUUCGUGCCAUGGCAGGAAUUAGCCUUCAUGUAAUUGCACCUCUUGUUCUUGUUGCGGUGGAAAAAUGUGUUUAAUCAGGAUAUAACUAAUCAAGUGCUGCUUAUAUGAGGGGCCGCAGUAGAAUGAUCAAACAGAUGCGGUUGAGAAAAUCUGCUGUUAGUGUAUUUGGAUAUGUUCACGAGGUUAAGGAUAACAUGAAAGAUAGGGAAGCCCAAACUUAUGGUGAUCCUGAACUUCUGGAUGAUUCUGAAUUUUUUCAGCAAUAACUGAAAGAAUUUUUUGAGACAGUUGAUCUUAAUUCAUCUGGUAAAACACUUUGUGGCUGAAAAUCUUCACAUAUAGCUCUUUUUUCGGCCAGUGUUUUUAAUUUCCUCAUCAGUAAUAUUAUCCGCCUUGAGGUUUCUAUCACUCCCAGAUCCCAAAUUCUCUGAAGGCCCAUGCAUUUGAUGCCGUGAAGAAGAGUGAUACUAUUUUUAUUGGUCAAUACCUGUUUACAAGAAAUGAAACAACUUCUGUGCGGCGAGGAAUUGGAUCAAGAGAGUAAGAUUCCAUCGCCAAAAGAGUUAAAAAGUAGAUCUUUUGAAGCGAAUAAUAGAGCAGUGUGAUUUUUUUUUAUGAUAGAGACUUGAUGUAUUAAGAGUUAUAUAUUAAGACUUUCAAUACUAUAUUUGUAUAGGAGUUAUUAUUUUUUAUUUCCAAUACUAAAAAAUUAUAUAUUAUGUUUAAUAUUUUAUUUAUGAGUUAUGUAAUAUUUUGUUGAUGAGUUAUGAUU